GCCUUUGUAGUUCAACGGAUAGAACGACGGUUUCCUAAACCGUAAAUUCGGGUUCGAUUCCCGACGAGGGUAC
rnacentral:tRNA from 1 species